rnacentral:lncRNA from 1 species
GAAGGGAGCCUUGAACACGCAGGAACAGAAAACCUGAGUUCUGAUCCUGCUCUUGCCAUUUCAGGGCUCUGUAGCUUACGCCCCUCAAAUGUACAAGAAGGACAGGAGCAGAAUCUCCGAGGGUCCUGUGUGAUGGGGAUUUGUACACCAGCAUGCAGCAGUGCCUGGCAGAAAGCAAAGGCGUUUACUUGGGACUAUCGUGUUCACAGCUCAGCAGCCUGCCUUCCUGCCUGGCACGCGUGUCCAUGUUUGCUGGAGGCACCUCAUUAACAAGGCCUCUCAACAGGAACAGGAGCCUGACCUUGGUUUCAGCACCUUCUGAUGUGAUCAACAAUUCCAUUUCAAAGUACCUGCCCUGAACAUGAAUGACUCAAACGCUCAAAUCAUUGCUCCGUUUCUGCCAGUCCUCAGAGAUCAGACAUCGGGACUCUUUCUGUGACUUCAGAUCCUGCGGCUGAGGUUCUGUUCUGGGCGGGACAGGACCCAUCACAGCUGGAAGGUGACAUCGGAGGCUUCUGGAUCAGAGUACGUUUUAACUGUCAGUCUUGUAGGGAACUGGAAUGCAGUGGCCAGGUCUCCAGAUAGAAAUUCCUACUGGGAUGUUUAGUUCUAUUCAUUUCACCUUUGCCACCUUUCCAUUCUCAGACCUGCCUUCUUUGUAGGACAGGACCCUUUUCAAAGCUCUAUGUCCCGCUGUUUCCUAUCAAUGACAAACUUUCAAAGUUAACUGGCUUUCUUUGCGAGUGUAGUAAGAGUAAAAUUAUUUCACUGUUAAUAUUGUUUACCAAGCCAUCCCCCUUGCUCAA